rnacentral:tRNA from 1 species
GGCACUAUAGCUAAGUGGUUAAAGCGAUUGGCUCCCUUUGGGUUCGAAUCCGGCUGGUGUCA